UUCACGCAUAUUGAAACUUGCCACUUGAUUUAAUACCAAUGCUGCUGGUUCAUGCAACUUUUACCUAAACAUGACCCUGCAAAUUUGAAUAUAUUUGUAUCUUCUGUCUCAGUUGCACCCGUCAACCACUGAAGUUUAAAAUUUUAACCUAACCUAACUCUAACCGGUUUCCCUGACGAGCGAACUGAUAUACAGUGUUGCUAUGGACCACGCCGAUGUCAGACCGCUGGAUGGCACAACUGACCAAUCAGAUUCAAGUAUAAAGUGUAAUAAAUGGCAAAACGCAGACUUAUCAUUCACUUUCUUUGCAGAAACAAUAUGAUGGAGAGUCAGUGAUGACAGAAUUUUCAUUAUUUGAAAAUUAUUUUAUUUCAUUAUUAUUAAUUGUUUUUCCUGAACUUUACAUCAGUGAGAACCCGUGUCCUUGACUGUCUAAACCAAAGGCCAUGUGACUGUGAAAGGCCAUUUGUCUCCGAGACAUUCAGAUAAAUGACCAGCUGAAAUCCUCCACUUUGUGAAGUUGUUUCGUAUCCACAUGCAGCACAACAGCUGUACUGAGGACAAUAUCUGCUUCGUCAUGCCUAGAGCUGAUCCGUGCUGGUCGCUGAGGAAAUACAUCAGCUUUGCACUGUGGGUCGCUGGAUCGGCUUUCGUGGACGAAGUGGAGUCCAGCCCGGGGUCGUCACAUGUGAUUGCCGCAACCCCGUCGGCCACGCCAUUCUCAAGCCUGCCGUGUGUGACACUAUGUGUUUCGUUGUGAAAGCGAAACUACUUUGUUUCGCCUUCCAAAAGAGGACACAACUAGAAAUCAGUGGUUAAGUUGUAUUUACAACACUGUUCCAGAACAGUUCAACCCAAAAUACAAUGGGUCUGUGCUUAAAGGCUGUUUCUAUAAAGUGGGGCAGUUCCAACUUUGCAAGGACAGUCUGGCGCUCCUGACUCACAGCCUGUAAGUAUGUUUUUUAUAUUUUAAGAAUUUGCCACUGACGAUUCAAACACGAGUUUUGAGCAGUGUAGAGUAGAGCUUGUUGUUUGUCGUUUCUCCGAUCACAAGUGCAGACAUGGUUUAAUGUUUACGUGGUGCGAUACACAACACAAUGCGUAAAAACACAGUAUA
ensembl:lncRNA